rnacentral:rRNA from 1 species
GUGGGGAAUUUUGGACAAUGGGCGCAAGCCUGAUCCAGCCAUUCCGCGUGCAGGAUGAAGGCCUUCGGGUUGUAAACUGCUUUUGUACGGAACGAAAAGCCUCUGGUUAAUACCCGGGGGUCAUGACGGUACCGUAAGAAUAAGCACCGGCUAACUACGUGCCAGCAGCCGCGGUAAUACGUAGGGUGCGAGCGUUAAUCGGAAUUACUGGGCGUAAAGCGUGCGCAGGCGGUGAUGUAAGACAGUUGUGAAAUCCCCGGGCUCAACCUGGGAACUGCAUCUAGGACUGCAUUGCUGGAGUGCGGCAGAGGGGGAUGGAAUUCCGCGUGUAGCAGUGAAAUGCGUAGAUAUGCGGAGGAACACCGAUGGCGAAGGCAAUCCCCUGGGCCUGCACUGACGCUCAUGCACGAAAGCGUGGGGAGCAAACAGGAUUAGAAACCCCAGUAGUCC